rnacentral:rRNA from 1 species
GACGAACGCUGGCGGCGUGCUUAACACAUGCAAGUCGAACGGAAAGGCCCUGCUUUUGUGGGGUGCUCGAGUGGCGAACGGGUGAGUAACACGUGAGUAACCUGCCCUUGACUUUGGGAUAACUUCAGGAAACUGGGGCUAAUACCGGAUAGGAGCUCCUGCUGCAUGGUGGGGGUUGGAAAGUUUCGGCGGUUGGGGAUGGACUCGCGGCGUAUCAGCUUGUUGGUGGGGUAGUGGCUUACCAAGGCUUUGACGGGUAGCCGGCCUGAGAGGGUGACAGGCCACAUUGGGACUGAGAUGCGGCCCAGACUCCUACGGGAGGCAGCAGUGGAGAAUAUUGCACAAUGGGCGGAAGCCUGAUGCAGCAACGCCGCGUGCGGGAUGACGGCCUGCGGGUUGUAAACCGCUUUCGCCUGUGACGAAGCGUGAGUGACGGUAAUGGGUAAAGAAGCACCGGCUAACUACGUG